GACGAACGCUGGCGGCGUGCUUAACACAUGCAAGUCGAACGCGAAAGGGAUUCGUCCCCAGUAGCGUGGCGUCCGGGUGAGUAACACGUAGGAAACCUUGCCUAGAGUGGGGGAUAACGUCCCGAAAGGGACGCUAAUACCGCAUAAGCCCACGUCGGCCUCGGCCGAUGCGGGAAAAGAAUGGCCUCUGAAUUCAAGCUAUCGCUCAAGGAUGGUCCUGCGGCGCAUCAGCUAGUUGGUGGGGUAACGGCCUACCAAGGCGAAGACGCGUAGCUGGUCUGAGAGGAUGAUCAGCCACACUGGCACUGAAACAACGGGCCAGACUCCUACGGGAGGCAGCAGUGGGGGAAUAUUGGACAAAUGGGCGGCAAGACCUGAUCCAGCCACGCCGCGUGAGUGAUGAAGGACC
rnacentral:rRNA from 1 species